AAUUUCAAACUGUGGUCAUGCCUGUGUAUCCAAUACUCCUAACAGCCAGGCUGUGAGGAAAUGAAGGUUUCUAGACUGGAGUCAGGCGAGAUGUAGCAGGGCUGGAUGUGUUAAACAAAGCACCGAAGGAAGUGGAAAGCUGCAGUGCCCUGCAGUCAGGACUGAGGGGCUGGUCAGAGUGGAAUACCUGUUUACUCACUCAGCUUGCACGGAGAACCUUCUGAGGGAAGAAAACCUGAGGCUGGGUAAUUUACAAGGAAAAGAAGUUCAUUUGGCUCAUGGUUCUGCAGGCUGUACAAGAAGCAUGGCACCAGCAUCUGCAUCUGGUGAGGGCCUCAAGCUGCUUCCAUUUAUGGUGGAAGGGAAGAUGAGCCAGCGUGGACAGAGAUCCCAUCCCAUGGUCAAGAAGAAAUUGUUGCUCCAUCAUAUAAGUGAAUGUCAGGAGGAGGAAGGAGGAUCUUAAGGAAUGAAGUUCUAAUGCAUCCUCUUUGAUUAAAAAGUAAAAGAAUAAAGUUAGCAGAGGAUAAAAGGUAUAUGGAGAGAGCCACCCACAAAAAGGGUUGCACCGGUGAAAUGGGCCUGUGUAGGUCACAUCCCCUCAGGGAGGGUAGCAUUGGGUCCCUUGCAUUUCAAAUAAAAUGCAAUUUUAGGAACAGGGGCUGAAGGGAGAGACACUUCCACCCACCUCAACAGGGCAAUUUUUUAAAAAUUUAAUUUAAUUAAUUUAUUUUUUUGAGACAGAGUCUCGCUCCAUCACCCAGGCUGGAGUGCAGUGGCGCCAUCAUGGCUCACUGCAACCUCCAUCUCCCAAGGGGUUUGAGAGAUUCUCCAGCCUCAGUCUCCCAAGUAGCCGGGAUUACAGGCGCGCGCUACUAUCCCUGGCUAAUUUUUUGUAUUUUUAGUAGAGACGGGGUUUCACCAUGUUGGCCAGGCUGGUCUUGAACUCCUGACCUCAGGUGAUCCCCGUGCCUCGGCCUCCCAAAGUGCUAGGAUUACAAGCGUGAGCCACCGCGCCCGGCCCAACAGGGCAAAUUUAACUGAACUUACAGUACAACCACCCGAAGCUCUGGGAGGAUGGCAGAGUGCUCUGACCUUAGACUAGUUACUUAACUUUUUAAAGCAUCAGACUUCCCACCUGUAAAAACACGAGAAGAGAACCUUCCUUACAGAGCUGUGAAAGUCCAAUAAUACAAAGAAAAUAUAACAUCA